UGUGUGUGUGUAUUUUCCAUUUUCUUGAGCAAUUCCCUUCAACAAGAAAGACAAUGAAAAGGUGAUCUGUGCUAUCCUCUAUAUGGAUUCUAAUAGCACUUUGCAACAUUUACGACUCUGUCAGACCACAGCUGGGAAACACCUGAGGGCAAAACAAAUCAGGCACAAGAAAUGAGGAUUCCAGGUUCCUCCUACCCAGUGUGGCCCCAACCGAAGCCUGCUCUAGUCACGUAUCCUAUAACCC